CAAAUCAUGAUUUUCAUAUUUUAUGGAAAAGCAGUCAGUAAAUUUCAACUAGUCAAAAGCGGUCAAAAGCGGCAUUUUCACAAGACACACUAAAAGUUGAUAGUACAGGAUUUUCGACAAGGUGGCACGUGCCGCACAAUGCAACCUUUUCAGUAAGUUUUUGACAUUAUACUUUGCUCCUGGUUGCCAUGUAUAGAUGUAAAGCGUUUAGUCGCAUAUAUUUUUGAAUUGUAUAUUUUAUAAUAUUGUUGCUUAUAAUAUUUAUUCGACGAGGAAGAACAUGGACUGUCUGGAUUCUGGA